AUUAAACGCUGGCGGCAGGCCUAACACAUGCAAGUCGAACGAGUGGCGGACGUGUGAGUAAUGUCUGUGAAACUGCCCGAUGGAGGGGGAUACCUACUGGAAACGGUAGCUAAUACCGCAUACCAUCGGAUGUGCCCAGAGGGGAUUGGCUAUUAGGUGGGGUAACGGCUCACCUAGGCGACGAUCCCUAGCUGGGCGGAGAGGAUGACCAGCAACACUGGAACUGAGACACGGUCCAGACUCCGACGGGAGGAAGCAGUGGGGAAUAUUGCACAAUGGGCGAAAGCCUGAGGCAGCCAUGCCGCGUGUAGGAAGAAGGCCUUCGGGUUGUAAAGUACUUUCAGAGAGGAGGCGUUACUCGAAGAAGAAGCACCGGCUAACUCCGUGCCAGCAGCCGCGGUAAUUC
rnacentral:rRNA from 1 species